rnacentral:rRNA from 1 species
UACAGAGGGGGCAAGCGUUGUUCGGAAUUACUGGGCGUAAAGGGCGCGUAGGCGGCCGCCUAAGUCAGACGUGAAAUCCCUCGGCUCAACCGGGGAACUGCGUCUGAUACUGGGUGGCUUGAAUCCGGGAGAGGGAUGCGGAAUUCCAGGUGUAGCGGUGAAAUGCGUAGAUAUCUGGAGGAACACCGGUGGCGAAGGCGGCAUCCUGGACCAAUACUGACGCUGAGGAGCGAAAGCCAGGGGAGCAAACGGG